rnacentral:rRNA from 1 species
UACGUAGGGCGCAAGCGUUAUCCGGAAUUAUUGGGCGUAAAGAGCUCGUAGGCGGUUUGUCGCGUCUGCCGUGAAAGUCCGGGGCUCAACUCCGGAUCUGCGGUGGGUACGGGCAGACUAGAGUGAUGUAGGGGAGACUGGAAUUCCUGGUGUAGCGGUGAAAUGCGCAGACAUCAGGAGGAACACCGAUGGCGAAGGCAGGUCUCUGGGCAUUAACUGACGCUGAGGAGCGAAAGCAUGGGGAGCGAACAGG